rnacentral:lncRNA from 1 species
UCUUUAGCAUGAGUGCACUUAGGGGUCAUGGCUGUGCACGCUGCCAUGAUUCAACCCUGUUGAGCAAUGAGACGUCAGAGACAGGAAGCCGCCUUGUUUAUUAGAAGUAGGGUAACCACAGUCUCAGCCAACUGAGGAAGGUUCUGCUGGCACUUUCAUUCUGAAUAGCAAACCCUAGUGCAAGGAAAAAAAAAAGCCAAAGUGUUUGGUAUAGGUGUUUAUAUACGACUAAAGAGCUCUUGUUUACUUCUUAAUUUUUUAUUUAAUUAAAAGAGCACAAUCCUUACAUUUCUUAUUCAGUAACAGUUAACAGUUUAGCAGGGCUCUGACGGAAGUCAAGGAUGAGAGGGCAUGGCCUGGAUUUCUGCAUAUUUGAAGCCUCUCUCAGACUGCCUGCUGGGCCAGAAGCUAUUGUGAAAAAAACUUUUGUAAAGAAAGCAUCCAGGUGACACUCCCUAAACCUUGAGAAAAGCACCGCCACCUCCUCGAGUUGAGAAACCUCGGCCUGUCUUGGGAACAUCGGGUCCCUGUUGGGCGUGGAAUGCAGGUUUGUGUGUACACUCUGAGCGGGUGUGGGAGCCUGCCGGUGGGCGUGGGGACACCAUGUCUGGGUUAGUGUCAGGCUAAGCCUUUAAAAAUAGCUUGUUUUUCAUUUCUGGAAUAUAGCCUUCCUGUUCCAGUUUAUUAACUCUCAAUUUUUAAACUCUUAUACCAGGUGCUGUGGGAAGUUAACAAAAAAGUCUUUAUCUUGAGGAACUCACAAUCUCUUCAGAGGAGUUAUUUACUAGUGGGAGACAAAAGUGAUUUACCAGGAGUGCAAAGUAACAGGCCAUGGACUUAUUUUAAGUGCUGAGAGGAUACAUUGUUAGCCUGAUAGAAGUGGUCUGGGUGCAGUCUGUGAAGAGUAGAGUGUGUGGGUAUCCAGACGGUUCACAAGGAGUGAAGGACUGCUGGGUAGUGAAGAAGAGGGUACUUGAGAGGCAGGUUUUGAAUGUGACUCAUGUGUGCACUGGGGUGGGGGUGGGUUGGAGUUCUGAGUUCAAGUCCUUCCACUGACUAGUUUUGUUAAUGCAAGUUGAGUUCCUUCCCUGACUAUAUAGUCCCUGUUGUUGAUUUAAAAAAAUUGCACAACCUAAAUGUCAAGAAUUACAUUUUAUUUGGUGGAUGAAACUGAGGACUUAAGCCCAGGAUGCAGCACCUCAGAUGGCUCUGAGGGACUGCUCUGAACAGGCAGGGAGGGGAGCUGGGCUGUAUAGGAGUUUCAGCCACAAAGACCAGGUGGUCGGAACAUCAAAAGAUUGUCG